rnacentral:miRNA from 1 species
AACACACCUGGUUAACCGCUUU